rnacentral:misc_RNA from 1 species
AACGCACAUUGCGCUCGCCAGUAUUCUGGCGAGCAUGCCUGUUCGAGCGUCAUUUCAACCAUCAAGCUCUGCUUGCGUUGGGGAUCCGCGGCUGCCCGCGGUCCCUUAAAAACAGUGGCGGGCUCGCUAGUCACACCGAGCGUAGUAACUCUACAUCGCUAUGGUCGUGCGGCGGGUUCUUGCCGUAAAACCCCCCAAUUUCUAAGGUUGACCUCGGAUCAGGUAGGAGUACCCGCUGAACUUAA